UACAGAGGGUGCAAGCGUUAAUCGGAAUUACUGGGCGUAAAGCGUGCGCAGACGGUUAUUUAAGUCGGAUGUGAAAUCCCCGGGCUCAACCUGGGAAUUGCAUUCGAGACUGAAUAGCUAGGGUACGGAAGAGGGAAGCGGAAUUUCAGGUGUAGCAGUGAAAUGCGUAGAUAUCUGAAGGAACAUCAGUGGCGAAGGCGGCUUCCUGGUCCAGUACCGACGUUCAGGCACGAAAGCGUGGGGAGCAAACAGG
rnacentral:rRNA from 1 species